CCUAAACAAACAGUUAAAAAAAUAAAUUAUUUUUUCUAACAUCAUGGCAACAAUAUGCUAAACUACAACAUACACAGCAAGAAGAUGUAAACUGACUUGUACUAUUGUAAAAAUUCAGAAAUAAUUAUCUAACAACAUUUUAUUACUAAAAGUCCACAAGGCCAAUAAUACUCUGUAUGAUUUCAAAAAUACAUUUGUUAUUCAAAAAUUAUUAACCAUAGGUACAUAUAAAACUCAGCUUGUACCAUUCUAUUCAUAUACAUUUCAUUUUGCACCUGUCCUUCAGUUUGAAACAAGGCUAGCUAAAUCUAAAUAUAAUCCAUAAAAGUAAAUUGCAAAUAAUAUUAAACCACAUCAAUAAAUUAUUCUCUGUGAAUUUACUUUACAUAUUGAAAAUUCAAAGCAGAUCAUAAAAAUAGACUAACUAAACAACAGACACCUUCUUCUAUAUAAAUACUUGAAAUAUUUGAUUAAAAUAGAAGAGCGACAAUUACUUAACAAUCAAAGUGGGCCACAGAAAUUCUCAUACACAGAAAAACAAAUUAUUAGUUAAAGGAAUGUGAAUAUUUAUAUACUGUGACUUAUUAAGCAGGCAAGAUAACUAUUCAAAGUUCCAAUAAGAUGAUAUUGCUGACACUACUAGAUAAAAGUUUAUCUCACCCACUGCAGAAUCGAAAACACGGAAAGCAGAAGGCUGAAAGGGCAGUUUUUAAUAGCUGUUCAGUUAAAAGAUUAAUAUAAAAUGCAACAUUUAUAAGGUGACACAGAAAGGAAAAUAAAUUUUACUAGAUUCUGACCACCCAAUUGUUAUUAUUCUAUUGGAAAGAAAUGCACUAUUCUUGCUAUCAGAAAUCCUAAUUUCUUCCUAAAUAAAAUGGAUAUAAGGAUCUUACAGUCAGUAGUCAGGUUAUCUUUUUUAAAGAUUUUCCGCACAUUCCUAACCAGAGAAUGUAGAAACUUGAUUUGCUAAUGUCAUGUAGAGCUUCUAGAUAAUUUCUACAGUUGCUCACAGCAUACAAAAUUAUACUUAAACAACAGCACAAUCCUAUAUAUGUCUAUUCAGAAGGAAGUUCCAUUCAAUGGUGUUAAUAUUAUUUCUAAAAUUAUAGCCUUAAAAAGUAUAAAUAAAAUUUAAUUUUAUUAAUUUUGAAAUUAAUCUAUUUUAAAAGAAACCAUCCAAAAAUUUUAAUUUCAUGGUUGAUUUGAGUACAAGCAUUUUAAUUAUUUUCAUAUUUAUAAAGUUAUCUUAGUAACAUACUCAUUCUCCCAAUGUUAUACUUUUUAAAAAGUUUAUUAUUUUACCUCUUUCAUGAGUCUUUCCUUUAAAAAGUUUGAAGCUCCACUGCAUUUUUUAUUCCCAUUUGAGCUCUAAACUGACAUAGAUAUUUCUACACAACAAACAAAAUUAUUUUCUUGCUAUUAUGUUUAAACAUUAGAUUCUAAUUUUACAAUAAUUACUACUAUCUUGGAAAAUACAAUAUAAAACAGCAUAAUAUACUUUAAGCUGAAACCUUUUUUCACAAUAAAAAGAUAUCUGAAAUUAUGCUCUCUACUUGUGUAUUUUUAAUAUUUAUAAGGUGCACUCUUUUUUACAUAGUGUGUUUGUACUCCAAACAAAAUGCUUUGUGUGCAGAAAGUGAUUUUAAAUCAUUUUAAAAUAAAAUAAAAAAAUACAGUUUUAAUUUAUGGCUUGAGACUAAAAUCCUAUAAAUCCUAGGAAAAAGGCUCCCAGAUAAAUCUUACUUCUGAGCAGAUAUGCAUAGGACUGUACUGUGAACUUAUUUAAUUCUGAAAGCUAUUGGCUGAAAACUCUGACACGGCAAACAGCAAGUACACACAUCAGAAGGUUUUUAUAGGAAAAAUACCCCAUGUUUCACUUAAAACAAGAUCCCAGGAAUAAUUUGUGCUGACUUUCUUUGUGAGACAAACUGAAUUGAUAAAUCAAUAUGAACACAAGUAAUGCUAAAUUGUUUUUAAAAGGGAAAAAAAUGCUCUGAAUUCAAUUAACUGCAAUGUUAUUAGGUGCAGUUGUGAAUAACUACUUUGAAAUUUAAAGAGAAAUUUCUGUGUGAAUUCUGCAUAUUAUUAAAAAAGAGAGUUUACUAAACAAAUUAGGUUAAUUUUAUAGCAGUUGAUUAAAAGAUUUUUCUACCUCUCCCCAAACUGAACAAAAGAAACAGCUGAGUGAACAAUAUAUGCAACUGGAAUUUAUAAAUAUAGAUUCCCCUUAAGCUGUUUCUUUAAGAGUGGUUACAAACCCAAGCUCUGGUUCUUACGCUACAGGCUGCAAGAGAUGCUCAGUUCAGUACUCACGAGGUUUAAGUUAGUCCAUAUUUCUGCAGGAAGUGACCUGCGGAUGGGGAACAUGAGAUGACACGAUCUCACUCUUUCACGGGAGAAAUGUACAGUAAAUGCCUAAAAUAGACACAGGCUUUUCUGUAUCAUAACAACAAGCAGUGACCUCAUCAGAAACAUGUGACAAAACUGAAUCCCAUUGGAAGGGUUUGUGACUUAAUAAAAGGUGAGAUCUAAUUUUUAAAAGUUUAGAACAGUAAAAAAUAAAAAAUACAGGUCACAAAUAUUUUAAAAAAAGGUUGUGUAAAAUGCACUGAGUACUGAAAUUUUUGUCAUCUGCAGCAAUUUAACCAUUUUAUAUCAUAAAAUACUUACCUAUGAACUUUAAAGAAACACAAAAUAUUGCUUUGGCUUUGUUUUAAAAAUAAUUUAAAAUGCUAACCUUGUCAUCAGAACUAAUAUAAUGGUGAGAUAUCACUCUGAAUAUGAAGUCAUCCCUGAACUUUGCUACUACAGAUCAAGCUGGGUUUGAGCUUUAUUAAAAGCUUUAACAAAGAGGAGUGUGUGCGUGUACGAGAAAAAUCACAGUCCAUAUAUUUAUCGCUUUUCAAAACAAAUGUUUAAACAGAUGUUUAUAUCAGAAAACAGAUUUAUUGUGAAAGAAUUUUUUAAAUUGAAAACUGUAAAUUCUGCUGUUGCUAUAUAAAAUACAUCAAGAAGAUGAUUAGUGGGAAAAGUCAAUAAAUUACAAAACUAGACAGUUCUUCAUGAUGUAAUAUUUUUCUAUUUCCUAUUAGAAUUGGUGUAAAAGGAAUAUCUUCUCAGAAAACAAAAGCUUUGUAUACAUUUUGUAUUUAUGGCCAAUACUACCUGGAAAACAUAAGCCAGUGUUUUUUUUAAAAUAAUUUGCAUCACACAUUUGUAAUACCAUAUCCAACAAAUUAGCAAAGGCAUUGUAUUGAUCAGGAAUAUAAAAACUUUUAGUGGAAUAGGUAUUCAAGUGAUAAUGCUGUUCCUGUUACCCAUCCACAGAACAUGGGGUACAGCUGUACUAGAAUGGCAGAAUGUCAUCUGUACUUAGCAUAUAUCUGUAUCUGGCAGUGUUAUAGUUGGGCUGCUUACAUAGAACAACGUAAAAACAACAAGAGUCAUAUUUAGCAAUAUUACAGUGCUUCAUCUAGUUUCUGUAAUGGGAUCAGAAUAAAUAUUCAAGAUUUUUCUUUGUAACGCUUGCCUGAAUAGUGAAUGUACAUUAGUCUAUUUUGCUCACCAAGAAUACAUUUGAUAUCCAUGACAAUUUUUCUUACUGGAUAACAAAAUAUUAAGAUGUACUAGCCAAAUAAGAGGUAAUAUUUAGGCUUUAAUAAAUUUAUUUAGCUUUUGUAAAAAUUAUUACCUGUAUGAUUUAAUACAUUAAACAACAUUUCUUUUAAAAACAAUUAAAAAUUACCAAAAAUGUAAUGAAUGAGAAAGUUAAGAAAGAAUUCAUACUCUGUGAAAGAUUUUAAAAUAUAUUUGUAUGCAGAAAGUCUAAUAUGGUAUUUGUUCCUUAAGGCUUCCACAUAUUCUUAAUUGUACUAGUAGCUGUAAACUAAAAUGUAUCUUGCAGGCAGAAUUGUUAAUUGUUUAACUUAAUACAAUAAGUAAGCAUUUUAAAAAGCAAAAAUGACAAGGUUAGCAUUUUCCCCAUAUGCUGUUUGUAUUAGUUAUGAGACAAUACAGCCAAAAUUAUAUGUCAGUAGUUUUAUAUGUAUUUAAGAAUAUUUCAAAUGCAAUCUAUGCGAUUUCUAGCAUCCUAAAACUAUGCUAGUUCAAAGGGAAAGUAGCUACCUUCAAAGCCAAUAUGCACAGGGGACUCUUUUUUACCAACCAUGUAGUUUAGGUAUAUAACUGCAAAGCUGAAUGUUAUUUCCAGUCAAUUUUUUGUAAGCACAUGAACAAGAUAAUUUCAUGUAAUAACAACAGAAUCACAGAAAUUCAAAAGAGGUAGCUUUUUAUAUUAAACAUAGAACAAAGCAUAUUUGUCUCAAAGUGACAGCUAUGAAAAACUAAGUAAAGAAAUAGAUCUAAAACAGAAUUUUUAUAUAAAUAAUUCAAAUCAUAAUAUUAAAAAUACUACUGGAUAGGCUAACUGGAUUUGCAUGUAGAUAUGAAAUUUGCCAACAAAUCAGUUUUCUACAUAUUCUGGGCAAAUAUACAUAUUUACAACCAUUACGACAACCAGAUAAUCUAAUCUGAUUGCAAAGAAAUAUUAAUGUGUAAUACACAGGUCAUUUUCUGUAAAAAAAAAAGAUUACUAAUCCAUUUUCAUCUUCUGCUCUGUUCUUUGUCAAGAGAAAUUUAAUUUCUUUUUAACUUCUGGGAAAAAAAGAAGACAGGUAACAGUCUCUAAAUCAAUGUACAAUUUUAAACGAAUCCUCAAUUGCACUGUUGCCCCUUCCCUCCCAUUUCCAUGGAUUUCUUUAAAAAAACUGUAUACAAAUAACUACUUAAAAUUUAUACUUCUAUUCUCCAAAAUAAUAUGACAGAAGGUUGACUAUGCUUAUUAAUUAUAUGGGCAUUUUUGUCUCCCAAACAUGCCAGGAUUCUUAUGUAGAACAUAUUGCACAAGCCAUAAAUUGAAACAUUUAUUCUAAAAUAGCACAAUCUUACAUUUUCUCAUCACAUGCCUCAGAGAUCAUGGGACUCACCAACCGAUAACUGUGACAGAAUUGCAACUCCAUGAAUUCUAUUAUUAAUAAACAUGUAAAUAAUG